rnacentral:rRNA from 1 species
GACGAACGCUGGCGGCGUGCUUAACACAUGCAAGUCGAGCGGAGCGGCGAACGGGUGAGUAACGCGUGAGUAACUGCCCCCCUCUCUGGGAUAACAGUUGGAAACGGCUGCUAAUACCGGAUAGUGGGGGAUGACUCGCGGCCUAUCAGCUUGUUGGUGGGGUAGUGGCCUACCAAGGCGACGACGGGUAGCCGGCCUGGGAGGGCGACCGGCCACAUGGGGCUGGGGUACGAGCCAAACUCCUACGGGAGGCAUGAGUGGGGAAUAUUGCACAAUGUGGGGAGCCCUGAUGCAGCAACGCCGCGUGGGGGAGGACGGCCAUCGGGUUGUAACCCGCUUUCAGCCAUAACGCGGUAGUGGCAGAAGAAGCACCGGCUAACUACGUGCCAGCAGCCGCGGUAUAC